AGCAGCGCGGUAAUACGGAGGGUGCAAGCGUUAAUCGGAAUUACUGGGCGUAAAGCGCACGCAGGCGGUCUGUCAAGUCAGGAUGUGAAAUCCCCGGGCUCAACCUGGGAACUGCAUUCGAAACUGGCAGGCUUGAGUCUCGUAGAGGGGGGUAGAAUUCCAGGUGUAGCGGUGAAAUGCGUAGAGAUCUGGAGGAAUACCGGUGGCGAAGGCGGCCCCCUGGACGAAGACUGACGCUCAGGUGCGAAAGCGUGGGGAGCAAACAGGAUUAGAUACCCUGGUAGUCCACGCCGUAAACGAUGUCUACUUGGAGGCUGUGCCCUUGAGGCGUGGCUUCCGGAGCUUACGCGUUAAGUAGACCGCCUGGGGAGUACGGCCGCAAGGUUAAAACUCAAAUGAAUUGACGGGGGCCCGCACAAGCGGUGGAGCAUGUGGUUUAAUUCGAUGCAACGCGAAGAACCUUACCUGGUCUUGACAUCCACGGAAGACUGCAGAGAUGCGGUUGUGCCUUCGGGAACCGUGAGACAGGUGCUGCAUGGCUGUCGUCAGCUCGUGUUGUGAAAUGUUGGGUUAAGUCCCGCAACGAGCGCAACCCUUAUCCUUUGUUGCCAGCGGUCCGGCCGGGAACUCAAAGGAGACUGCCAGUGAUAAACUGGAGGAAGGUGGGGAUGACGUCAAGUCAUCAUGGCCCUUACGACCAGGGCUACACACGUGCUACAAUGGCAUAUACAAAGAGAAGCGACCUCGCGAGAGCAAGCGGACCUCAUAAAGUAUGUCGUAGUCCGGAUUGGAGUUUGCAACUCGACUCCAUGAAGUCGGAAUCGCUAGUAAUCGUGGAUCAGAAUGCCACGGUGAAUACGUUACCGGGCCUUGUACACACCGCCCGUCACACCAUGGGAGGGGGUUGCAAAAGAAGUAGGUAGCUUAACCUUCGGGAGGGCGAUUACCACUUUCUGAGUCAUGACCGGGGUGAAGU
rnacentral:rRNA from 1 species